rnacentral:lncRNA from 1 species
CGACUCUCCGUCGUCCACUCCCCCGACUAUCGCUAAUGAGUCCGCUAAUAGACAUCGAUCCUACCAGGAAGCUUGCCACUCUCAGCAUCUCUCUGUAAUUUAAAAAUUAAUUAAAAAAAUUUUAAAUAAUUAGAGAAUUAUAUGCUAAUUAGAAAUUAAAAAUUACCUACCAUGUGCUCCAUGUGACGAGCAAAUGAUCUUAAACCCCCACAAUGCGGCACGGUCUG